rnacentral:rRNA from 1 species
UACGUAGGGUGCAAGCGUUGUCCGGAAUUAUUGGGCGUAAAGAGCUCGUAGGCGGUUUGUCACGUCGGAUGUGAAACCCUGAGGCUCAACCUCAGGCCUGCAUUCGAUACGGGCAGACUAGAAUUCGGCAGGGGAGACUGGAAUUCCUGGUGUAGCGGUGAAAUGCGCAGAUAUCAGGAGGAACACCGGUGGCGAAGGCGGGUCUCUGGGCCGAUAUUGACGCUGAGGAGCGAAAGCGUGGGAGCAAACAGG